GUCCAUUCCCCGGGGAGUCGUUUGACUGAGAGGGGCGCGUAACGUCGCCCGACCCGCAGAACCUGAUCCGGCCCCGCUCGUGCGGGCUUACCGGCGUAGGGAGGGAGCGGUUAUUUGGG
rnacentral:ncRNA from 1 species